AGGCACGCAGUCCGCCCACACUGGCCCCAGCCCUGCCGCUCGGGGCGCAGAGGUAGGCAGGGCAGGCCGGCCAGAGGUGGGAGACACCAAAUGAACCAGCACGGACUUCAGACCGUGCUGAGAAAUUGAAGCGGAAGGGAAUACGGUGACCCGGAGGUUGUUUCAGCCCGUGGUAGGUGGUCUACAAAGGCCUCCCUGAUUAAGGACGUUGGAGCAAGAACAGAACGUCGGGACCAGACCACAAAGAUCGGGAGCAGAGUGUGCCAGGCAGAGCCCAGCGGAGCUCCUGGAGCAGGGAGAAGUCCCGGAGCGCCUCCUCGGCCGAGCGGCACUGGUUCAGCUGGAUCUGCACCUCCACGUUACAUGACCAUAUGAGAUUGGAUUUUCAUUAUCCACUUCAACAACCGCAACACAAGAGAUUAACUGCAGAACCGGCUAUUUCAGUGCAACCGUCAAUUAAGCCAGACAAUAAAAAGAUUUGCAAAAAUGUAAAAAAGAAAUGUAAGACCAUCUUAACUCUGGUGCUCAGUAGGGAGCCUGCUUCUCCUCUCUCCUUCUACCUCUCCACCCCCACCCCCUUGUGCUCUCUCUCUCAAACAAACAAAAAAAAAUCUUAAAAAAAAAAGAUUUAAAAGAAGAAUUUUAAGUUGAUAGUUAUUUUUCCUUAAAUGUUUAAGAAUUCUUCUACUGUCUUUUAUUUGGCAUUUUCAGCCGAUGAUAAAACUGCUGUCAUCUUUAUCUUUGUUCCUGUCUUUAUAACUGAUUUUGAGCAGUUUUAUUAUUUUUAAAGAUUUUAUUUAUUCAUGAGAGAUGCAGAGAAAGAGAGGCAGAAAUACAGGCAAAGAAAGAAGCAGGCUCCCCGCUAGGAGUCCGAUGCAGGACUCGGGAUCCCGGACCCUAGGAUCAUACCCUGAGCCAAAGGUAGACACUCAACCGCUGAACCACCCAGUCAUCCCUAAGCAGUUUUAUUAUUAUCUAGCUUGGUUUAGUUUUCUCCAUGCUUUUUGUGUUUUGAGUUCACCAAACUUUUUGGAUUUAUGUAUUUAUAAUUUCCGCCUAACUUGGAAAUGUUUCAGCAAUUACUUCUUCAAAUAUCCUUUUUGCCUUUCCCACUCUCCUUUGGAGAUGCCAACUAUAUGGACAUUGGCUCCUCUGACUUCGUCUCAAAAUUCACUGAUGUUCUGUUCAUUUUUUCCCAGUCAUUUUUCUGCGUUUAAUUGUGGAUAGUUUCUACUGCUUCCAGUUUACUAAUCUUUUCUUCUGAAUUAUCUAAUAUGCCAUUAAUCCCAGUGAAUGUGUUUUUAAUAUGACAUGGUAGUUUUCAUCCCUAAAAGUUUGGUUUACUGUCCAUAUUGCUACAUACCACAAUCUUUCAUUUAGCCUCUUAGAUAUAUGGAAUAUAAUUAUAAUAAGUUUUAAUGUCCUUGUCUACUAACAUGUAUGUCAUUUUUGAGUCAAUUAUGAUUGAUAAAUUCUCAUUAUAUAUUAAGUUUUCUUGCUUUUUUUCCAUAUAUGAUAAUUUUUUAUUGGAUGGCAGAUGUGAAUUUUACCUUGGGUGCUAUUUUUUUUUAAGAUUUUAUUAAUUUGAGGGAGAGAGCAUGCAAGU